CCUACGGGAGGCUGCAGUCGGGAAUCAUUCACAAUGGGGGAAACCCUGAUGGUGCGACGCCGCGUGGGGGAAUGAAGGUCUUCGGAUUGUAAACCCCUGUCAUGUGGGAGCAAAUUAAAAAGAUAGUACCACAAGAGGAAGAGACGGCUAACUCUGUGCCAGCAGCCGCGGUAAUACAGAGGUCUCAAGCGUUGUUCGGAAUCACUGGGCGUAAGGCGUGCGUAGGCUGUUUCGUAAGUCGUGUGUGAAAGGCGCGGGCUCAACCCGCGGACGGCACAUGAUACUGCGAGACUAGAGUAAUGGAGGGGGAACCGGAAUUCUCGGUGUAGCAGUGAAAUGCGUAGAUAUCGAGAGGAACACUCGUGGCGAAGGCGGGUUCCUGGACAUUAACUGACGCUGAGGCACGAAGGCCAGGGGAGCGAAAGGGAUUAGAUACCCUGGUAGUC
rnacentral:rRNA from 1 species